UUAAGUUCAGCGGGUAGUCCUACCUGAUUUGAGGUCAGAGUCAAAAGGUGCCCAAGGGCAGUUGUGAGCAGGCUCAACACAUUCACCAACGAAACUUAUUACGCCGACUACAGUGCUAUAACCCCACUAAGUCCUUUAAGGCGAGCCAGCAAUUAGGCAGACACCCAAAUCCAAUCUCCUCGGAAACCCAAGGGAUUGAG
rnacentral:misc_RNA from 1 species